UUCCCAAUGAAGGGUUACACGCGGCAUUUGUCAGAUACUGGCUGUCUAACAGUGCGAGCAAGAGAAAACACGCAGAGGAGUGACUAAGGAAGAAACAAACAGCACUUACUUUGUUUUCCAGCGCAGUAGGCAAGUCAGGAAGGAGGCGAGGCGGUCCUUCCCCAAGGCCCUGCUUUCACUUUAAAAGCCGGGCUUCUGCUACGUCCAGGUUUGCCGUGGACUCCCAAACGCCUGCGCUUGCCAGGACGCCCCAAGUUCACAGUUCAUCAGAGGCAGCAAGGACCAGGGAUCCCCAGGAGAGAGCGAGGCGACCUCUGGGCGCUGCGUGGCACCACUGCUGUUACCACACACGCCCGGGACACCCACGCGUUCGCUCAGGAGCCGGGCACCGGCAGAUAACUGCUCAGAUGAGUGUCCAGAGACGCCAGCCUCUGACAUUCUCAGGUUCAAGGUUGGAAAUUGUAUGAAGACGAGAACCACGCAGUCAGCAGUAUUCUGCACCACUCACUUUCUCGCACUCAACGCACAUUUUAAAAAGAGCAAAAGGUACAAAAUUAGAAGGCAUAUUUUACUGGUGAUUGUGAUCGGCAUUUGCCCUGUACUGGGUCCCAUCUUGCUCACUAAACCUGCAUUUAAGAUCAGGAGUAUUUUCAUUUCUCUGUGAAAACUCAAGAUUUUUUGAGAGAAUCAAUUUUAAAAAGAACAGGAAAACAGUAUAAGUCUGCUUAAAAAAUGCAGCCCUCACUAAAUCUCAUCAGGUUAAUUUUUUUAAAUCCAAAAAGUAAACAAACAAACAAAGCAUACAGAUUGGAUGUUUGUUUUGGAAAUACUUCAUCCGUGUCCUGUCCAGCUCAUAAAAACAAACCUCCUUCCAGCAAAGAGGGACACUUUCACCUUGUUUACUGCCGCGUUUUGAAAGCGCUGUCUGGUCCCUCCUGACAUCACCGGCCCGGCAUUAGCACCUUCGCCGCUGCUGGCCGCACCUUCCUGCCGCGCGGCUGGACCAACACGCCCCAGAGCCGAGAGGACACUGGCGUGAGCAUUAAACCCACGGAACGCACAUGACAGCUGCUGCAAUAUGUUCCCACGAUGGAAAUGCCAGAUCCACACAGUUUUCAUCUGAGGCACGAAAGCUGGUGAUAGGGUCACCGUCACAGAGCACCCGAAUCCUCCUUGUGUGUUAUGCAAGUCACGCCGCAGACCACGUUCACGCAGUCAGAAUCAGAAAGUGAAGAUGAAUGUUAAAACGCUUUAGUAAGAAUAAUGGGCCGCCUGAUAGGUGACUCUAUUGUACAAAAAUGCCUGAAGACACAUUCUCUGUGCUACGGAAGAUGUUAACAUGAAUGUGUUUGAAACUCAAAAGGUGUGGCCUGUGGCUGUUUUGUUUCUCAAUGCCGUUUCUGUUACUAAUAUGUUAAUAAUAAUUUCUUAAUCCGGAUAAUACACAACAAGGUUGAGAGCAGGUAUUUAUAUCUCAAGCUAUUACUUUUAUCACUUUAGUGUCUCACAUUUUUCAAAAUGCUUUCCCUAUUUUUAUUUCAACCUUGACAACAAAUUUAUGCCACAGCUCUGGGCAAGUGGCAGGGCCAGGUCAGGGCCAGCAACCAUUUCUGGGUAUUUCUUGAGGACUAGCUCAUCCUUCUUUAAUUCUGAAACACAAGAGGUAGCUGGGCAAAAGGAGAAAUUAUUAGGAAAGACAGAAGCCUUUCAGAAGGGAAGCCUGAGGUAGGUUAAGAACAGUUAGCAAAGGUAAGAAGCACAAACUGUCCAAGGUACAGAGUAUUAAAUGGCACUGUAAUCUUACUCAACUUGCUGUCACACUGGUUGACUAACUUAAGGAAAGAUGAACCAGUUACCCAGAAAUACCAGGGAAGUUCUGGGCUGAGGGGGAAAGCUUCUGAGGAGGUCCCGGCCCCUCUUCCCGGCUCCUGCCCUCCACAGGGCUAUCACAGCCUCCUCACUUUCUACAGUGGGGCAAUCAAGGCACCGAAAUAAGAAAAAGCACUUGUUUUGGUUCAUAUCACAGCUUUCCUGGGAUUUUGGACAAACACGAGAACCAGAUAAUAUUCUAGGAAAAAUAAUGUAUCUCCUACUUUAUAAGCUUCACCAAAAUUAAUAGUGUAGAGAGUCAAAAGUUAAAUAUAAGAGGGG